CAAAUAAUCGGCUAUAAAGUUAGAGCUUAUUUGACACAUCUGGGCGACGAUUCUCGUAUUUUCUUAACUCCAAAUAUUCGUAACUUGACAGUUGCGUGUAUAAAAUCCCAAAAGAACUGUCAAGUAACGAAUUCUUAAAG